rnacentral:lncRNA from 1 species
CUAAAUAAAUAAAAAAAAUCAUUUUUUCCGUACUAAAAAUAGCAGGGUGUGACCUCUCCAUUAACAGAUAUAAAAACAGAAGUACCAUUUUACAAGUUCAAUCCGAUUAUUACAUGUAUUCAAGUGAUAUAUCAUUUGAUUAAAAAGCUGGAAGCACAACAUUUCUUGUAACUUCUUCCAUACGUUUACAAUAUUUUAUAUAAAGUUCUUAAGAGGAAGAAAUUAAAGAUAUGGCUAGCUACUUAGCUUAGCUAAUGCUGCCUGCUGGUGCUAGAAAUGAAAUGAACAGCCACCCGCCCAAGAAGCUUCAUCUUGUGAUAAAGAAGGACUAGCAUCUUACGCUUGAUGCUCCCUCUGACUGGUGGUACAAGCAUCCUGCUGUCAUUGCUGCAACCAACAAUUGCUCUUCGAGACACGGAUUCCAGUCCCAUUACAUCAAUUAACAUCUUGUUUUCCAUUUUCUUCUUCUUUUCUUUCAGGUGCAAACUUAAUUAAUAGAGAGUUGUU